GAUCUCUGCAACUGUAGCUCCUAAUUUCGUCUCCACCACGACCUACAAUGGAAGGCAUCGAAAUGGAGGGUCCCAUCAUCCCUACAACCGACGAUUUCUGUGAUUCAAUUCUCUCGCGUUUCUCCACCUCCAUACAAGAGGACCACCAGCACCUCUGCGCAGUCAUUGGCGCCAUGUCCCAGGAGCUCAAGGAACAGAACCUCCAGUCCACUCCAAUUGCUUACUUCGGCGCCGCAUGCUCCUCCCUUGACCGCCUUUCCUUGGACCCCGAC
rnacentral:misc_RNA from 1 species